CCACUCAGGGGCGGCGCUGGUUUCUGUCCUAUGACAGGCGAAGAGGGAAUGCGACAGGGUUUGCGACUGAAACAGUCAAAAACGCGAAACGCAGCCGCCCCCGCGACCGUGACCGGAGAGGGCGCCCCACACCACUGGCAAAAGCCGGGAAGGGGGGGCGACCGUGGGGUUUAGGCCUCGCAUCCGCAAGCCGGGAGACCUGCCAGCGUAUGUGUUUCGGG
rnacentral:ncRNA from 1 species